UACAGAGGUCCCGAGCGUUGUUCGGAUUCACUGGGCGUAAAGGGUGCGCAGGUGGGUUGGCAAGUUUGAUGUGAAAGCCCCGGGCUUAACCCGGGAAUGGCAUUGAAUACUGUCGAUCUGGAGGAUUGGAGGGGGGACUGGAAUUCUUGGUGUAGCAGUGAAAUGCGUAGAUAUCAAGAGGAACACCAGUGGCGAAGGCGAGUCCCUGGACAAUACCUGACACUGAGGCACGAAAGCCGGGGGAGCAAACAGG
rnacentral:rRNA from 1 species